rnacentral:rRNA from 1 species
UAACGGCUCACCAAGGCAGCGAUCAGUAGCCGACCUGAGAGGGUGAUCGGCCACAUUGGAACUGAGACACGGUCCAAACUCCUACGGGAGGCAGCAGUGGGGAAUAUUGCACAAUGGGCGAAAGCCUGAUGCAGCAACGCCGCGUGAGCGAUGAAGGCCUUCGGGUCGUAAAGCUCUGUCCUUGGGGAAGAAAAAAUGACGGUACCCUUGGAGGAAGCCCCGGCUAACUAC